UGAGGAAUAUUGGUCAAUGGGCGAGAGCCUGAACCAGCCAAGUCGCGUGAAGGAUGAAGGUUUUAUGAAUUGUAAACUUCUUUUGCAGGGGAAUAAAGUACGGUACGUGUACCGUUUUGUAUGUACUCUGCGAAUAAGGAUCGGCUAACUCCGUGCCAGCAGCCGCGGUAAUACGGAGGAUCCAAGCGUUAUCCGGAUUUAUUGGGUUUAAAGGGUGCGCAGGCGGGUUGAUAAGUCAGCGGUGAAAGUUUGCAGCUUAACUGUAAAAUUGCCGUUGAAACUGUCGAUCUUGAGUGCAAAUGAGGUAAGCGGAAUGUGUUGUGUAGCGGUGAAAUGCUUAGAUAUAACACAGAGCACCGAUUGCGAAGGCAGCUUACUGGGAUGCAACUGACGCUCAUGCACGAAAGCGUGGGGAUCAAACAG
rnacentral:rRNA from 1 species